rnacentral:rRNA from 1 species
GACGAACGCUGGCGGCGUGCUUAACACAUGCAAGUCGAACGGAAAGGCCCUGCUUGCCGGGUACUCGAGUGGCGAACGGGUGAGUAACACGUGGGUGAUCUGCCCUGCACUUCGGGAUAAGCUUGGGAAACUGGGUCUAAUACCGGAUAGGAACCAUCUUUAGUGUGGUGGUUGGAAAGUUUUUUCGGUGUAGGAUGAGCUCGCGGCCUAUCAGCUUGUUGGUGGGGUAAUGGCCUACCAAGGCGGCGACGGGUAGCCGGCCUGAGAGGGUGUACGGCCACAUUGGGACUGAGAUACGGCCCAGACUCCUACGGGAGGCAGCAGUGGGGAAUAUUGGACAAUGGGCGCAAGCCUGAUGCAGCGACGCCGCGUGGGGGAUGAAGGCCUUCGGGUUGUAAGCUCCUUUCGCUAGGGACGAAGCUUUGUUGUGACGGUACCUAGAGAAGAAGCACCGGCUAACUACGUG